UACGUAGGUGGCAAGCGUUGUCCGGAUUUACUGGGCGUAAAGAGCGCGCAGGCGGCUGGUCAAGUCCGAUGUGAAAUCUCCCGGCUCAACUGGGAAACUGCAUCGGAAACUGAUCGGCUUGAAGGUGGGAGAGGGUAGUGGAAUUCCCGGUGUAGUGGUGAAAUGCGUAGAUAUCUGGAGGAACACCGGUGGCGAAGGCGGCAUCCUGGACCGGUAUUGACGCUGAGGCGCGAAAGCCAGGGGAGCAAACGGG
rnacentral:rRNA from 1 species